rnacentral:antisense_RNA from 1 species
GCAAAAAGGGCACGGGGCAGAGGGACUAUGUUGUGAGCCUGGGAAAGAAGUUUGUGUGGGGACUGUGGGCAGUGAACGCGUUGGGAACAAUAUGGAAAACUGGGAGCUGCCUUGGAAUCUACAGGGCCGGGCUGAAGAAAAGAAGAACGAUAUUCACGCAGUUCCCAUUUUACAGAUGAAAACAAGAGGACUUUUUCUGUGAAGUCAGGAAAGUGGUUACAAUGGUACUUUCCGCCUGUCCGAAUUAUGUAUUGCCCCUCCCCUUUCUAUUAAUAACAUUGAAGUGUGAUGGGACAACCACUGAAGCCGUCAGUUGAAACCUGCUGGGACUUUUUAGCCAUUCUCUUCAACAUAAAGAAUGGGUGUUUUUGGAGGGGUGAGAGGAAUGGGGAAAUGUUGUCAAAGAGUACAAUGUUUUAGUUGAGACAGGAAGAAUACAUUUUGUUGAGAUCUACAGCACAGCAUGGUGACUGUAGUUAACAAUGAAGUAUUGUGUAUUUCAAAAUUGCUAAGACAAUAAAUUUCAAAUGUUCUCACCACAAAAAA